UAAGGAUCAGCAAAAAUCAGUAAGAGUCACUAGAGGGUUUCACUCUUUUUCUGCCUCUGCCUCCUGGGUUCAAGCAACUGUCCUGCCUCAGCCUCCCUAGUAGCUGGGAUUACAGGCAUCUGCCACACCUGGUUAAUUUUUGUAUUUUAGUAGAGACGGGGUUUCACAGUUAAUUUUUGUAUUUUACCGAUGAUCUAGCCCAUGUUUUCCACACCACCUACCAGUAACUGGCCUUUUCAUUUCUUUCAGGGAACUGGGGCAUCUCACAGGGCCCCUGCAACAGU
rnacentral:lncRNA from 1 species